rnacentral:rRNA from 1 species
UACAGAGGUGGCAAGCGUUGUUCGGAAUUACUGGGCGUAAAGGGCGCGUAGGCGGUCUUGUAAGUCUUGUGUGAAAUCCCUCGGCUUAACUGAGGAACUGCACGGGAUACUGCUUGACUUGAGAUCGGGAGAGGGAAGCGGAAUUCCGGGUGUAGCGGUGAAAUGCGUAGAUAUCCGGAGGAACACCGGUGGCGAAGGCGGCAUCCUGGACCAACACUGACGCUGAGGAGCGAAAGCCAGGGGAGCAAACGGG